CUCUAGACAUGACUGAGGAGCAGAAGGUUCCUCUUGCGAGUUUUGUUCUUGUUGGUGAGGUAGAACACUGGUGGCGUUUAAAAAAAGACGUUUUACCCGUUCCUAUCACCUAGGAUAGAUUUUUGGAUGCCUUUUAUCAUAACUUCUUUUCGAUAUGGGUUUGAGAGAAGAAAGAAGAUGAAUUCCUAGAGUUUAAGUAGGGUAGUAUGGCAGUUAGUGUUGCUACAAAGUUUGUCCAACUCUCCAUAUUUGCACUGAAAUUGGUCUCCACUUAGGCCAAGAAGGCCUGGCAUUUUCUAAAGGGUCUAAGAGCUAGCAUAUAUGAUUGUGUGGUCAUGUUUAAGCCAAGUACUUAUGUAAAGGUCCUUGAGAAUGUCUAGUUAGAAUAGGAGUUACUUACUAUUAGAUUCAAACAGGCCAGUGGUUCUCGGUUUUCUGAUAAUCUGAAAAGGAAAUAGCCAGUUCAGGGUCCAAUUGAUAAGUGACCAAGAAUUACUCUUAUUACUACCCCACCAUCAUCAGU
rnacentral:lncRNA from 1 species